rnacentral:rRNA from 1 species
CCUACGGGGGGCAGCAGUGAGGAAUAUUGGGCAAUGGACGCAAGUCUGAACCAGCCAUGCCGCGUGCAGGAUGACGGCUCUAUGAGUUUUAAACUGCUUUUGUACGAGGGUAAACGCCGAUACGUGGAUCGGGUUGAAAGUAACGUACGAUUACGGAUCGGCUAAAGCUGAGCCAGUAGCCGCGGUAGUACGGAAGGUCCGAGCGUUAUCCGGAUUUAUUGGGUUUAAAGGCCGCGUCGGCGGUUUGAUAAGUUAGAGGUGAAAUGUCUGGGCUCAAACCCGACACUGCCUCUCAUACUGUCAGACUAGAGAAUAGAAGCGGUGGGCGGAAUGUAUGGUGUAGCGGUGAAAUGCUUAGAGAUAAUAAAGAACACCGAUUGCGAAGGCAGCUUACCAAACUAUAUCUGACGUUGAGGCACGAAAGCGUGGGUAGCAAACAGGAUUAGAUACCCUUGUAGUC